UUUCUGUAAGCGGGUCUCUCUGUGUUGCAGCUGCAAGAGCUGAUGUGUCACAUGAUGAUGGGGAGCCUGGUGAUGUUCAGGAAGGACUCUGCUCAACAUCCUCAGUGAGGCACUCUCAGAGGACACUGUCCUCGCGGCUUCCACAUGUGUCCACCUGUCCUCGUGGCAGCUUCUACUUCAUGUGUCCACAGUUUAGUCUCUAGACUGGGAGACCUUCGAGCAGUACAGCACCAGGCACCUGUUCCUGGCUCACAGCAUCCCCCUGGAGACCAUCUUCCCCAUCCUGCAGCAACUUAAAUAUUAAGGUCCAGUGAGGAGAUGGUGAAGAUGGUCCUGAGUCGUCCCUGUCACCCCGAGGACCAGUUCACCACCAGCAUCCUGAGACACUGGGCGUCCAAUCACGACAAUAAUUGAAUAAUUGCGGCUGGGAGAACGCGUCAAGGCCCAGCUGAUAAAGAACAACAACAACCAGCCCCGCAAGAGACACAGGGGAGGACAGACAGGCUUAUUGAUCGCUUCAGGAGGGAUUGAAAACUGAUAGCUGAUUGUGUCUGUCUCUGCCAGUCUUCACUCAGACCCCCGAUCCUUCAGGCUCUGCAGCACGUUCAGGCCAGCUGUGACGAGGGUCAGCGACCUGUUCGCCCUGGUGGAGGAGUACAAGGACUCCCAGACCGGUCCUCCCAAGUCCCGCUGUAAGGCUCCGGCAUCCUCACCUCGCUUCCGCCCACCAACAACGAGGAGAGCGCCUCCAGCAGCGGCUGAGCAAACUCCAUUUAUCCAUGAAUGAAGGCCACAAGAUGCUGCUGAAAGCCUGGGAAGAAAUCAAGUCAGGCUUUGGCCUCUAGCAGUUCGAGGAACAGUUUGUGCAUGGGCACACGGCCGUCCUGUUUGAUGCUGCAGAAGUGCUGGACAGCACGAGCAGCCGUCUGACGGAGGAGAGGGAGGGUCAUGAUCAGUUUGCCUGCCCGCCGAGGGUCCUCUGGGUGGCGGGUGGCCUCGUAGUCCUGUAGGGCCCCGUGAAGGACAUCCUGGAGUCUCUGAACUGCCUCUGAGUCCUCAAUUUGCAUGGAGUCUGUAAGGAGAGGUAAAAGUGAGGAAUUAAGGUGGGUAUCUGCUGUGUGUAUGGCCGCCUCUCACCGCUGCUCCACUCUCCCAGCCAAACCCUCCACUGGCAAAGGGCUACAAAUACACCCAUCAGUCGGACUCAGUCUGUCUCGUGCGCUAACAGUAAAGAGCCGACAAUGGGAGAAACGAGGCAGACAGCAGCAGCCUGUGGGGGUGAUGCUCUUCUUCCUUUUUUAACAGAACAAUGGAAAUGCUGUUGAGGGACACCAAGACACACUGAAAUUGUUGCUUCAUGUCCACUGUGUAGGAAGAAAUAUGGGGGGGGAAGCAAAUAUAGCAGUGUUACAAGCACACACACACACACCUGCUUUGUUUGUUUUGUAAGCAUUUCAGAGACAAGACAUCAACAAAAACCCAGGUGUUUCCCUGGGGAUGUUUUGGGUGUGGAUAACCACGGCUCAUAAAGCAGUCAAGGCUUCAGUUGGAGGAAAAAUGGCGAUAAGAGAACAGGACAGAAUAGAAAUCGAGAGAGAUGAUAAUGACUCUAGUAAACUGAUCAUCCCUGGAGCCUGUGUCUAUCCUAGGGUACAUUAUGAUUCCUUCUUCGUAUUUGAGAAGCUGGGAGCGAGUAUUUGGUAUUUUUGCUUGAUAAAUUGCGUAAAAGCGUUAUUCAGUUGUCAAAAUUGUUAUACCGCUGGAACAAUUACUUGCUGAACCAAUUAUUCAAUCAACAGAAAUUUAAGAGCCAACAAUUAUUUUGUUCCAGCUUUUUUAAACAUGAGAAUUUGCAUCUUUUUUCUGAUUUACACCACUGGGUUUUGAACUAUUGGCCCGAGUAAAACAAGAGAUUUAAAGACAUCAACUUUCUGCUUAUUUCAAAGGCUAAAUGAUUAAGCAGAUUGUUUAAUAAUGAAAGUAAUCGUAGGUUG